AGUAAAAUCAGCUAAGAAAGCUUAUGGGCCCAUAACCCAUCUAAUGUUGGUUCAAAUCCUUCUUUUACUA
rnacentral:tRNA from 1 species